UACGUAGGGGGCAAGCGUUGUCCGGAUUUAUUGGGCGUAAAGAGCGUGUAGGCGGCCAGAUAGGUCCGUUGUGAAAACUGGAGGCUCAACCUCGAGACGCCGAUGGAAACCAUGUGGCUAGAGUCCGGAAGAGGAGAGUGGAAUUCCUGGUGUAGCGGUGAAAUGCGCAGAUAUCAGGAAGAACACCCGUGGCGAAGGCGGCUCUCUGGGACGGUACUGACGCUGAGACGCGAAAGCGUGGGGAGCGAACAGG
rnacentral:rRNA from 1 species